UCUAAGCUGCGAUUAAGAUGCUUAACGAGCGAGCAAGAAUAUUUGCGGCAAAUUCGUCAUGUAUAAAAGACGCCUUGCUGCAAUGAGCUCAGUAUUAUAGCAUAAUUGUUGCCAAGUGGAAGCAAAAUCUUAGUAACUUUGCCAACAGCAGCUAUGAAUAAGAGGUUAUGUUUGUUGCUUUUUAUGAUCAGUGUGGAUUUCCUUGCUGGGGUGAACUGCCUGACCAGUGGCGGGCUACAAAUGUGGGGAAAACGCCAACACGAGAAAGCAAAGAGAGGGGAACUUCUUCAAACAAUUGUCUGCAAAUUUUGCAUGGAAAACCAGAGGUAUUGCUACGAACCAAGAAUGACUAAAGCAGAGUUCGAGCUGAAAGACCUCAAGAACUACAGAGAGCUUGCAAAAGAACCAUAAAAUAUAGCGGCAAAAGCUGAUAUGAGGAAAAAUAUUUAAUACUUUUGAUUUAAAUCUGCUUGGCUGGAAGUCUCAUGUUAUUAAAACACUAUUUGCCGUGGUUUCUCCUAAGCUUUUAAUUGAUCACGCAAAUUGAUGCAGAAAGUUAAAUUUUGAUCAUGAUACAUUGUAAAAUAUUUAACACGCA